rnacentral:misc_RNA from 1 species
UUUCCGUAGGUGAACCUGCGGAAGGAUCAUUAGUGAACGAUUCGGCCCUCUCUUGUUCAAGGGAGCGGCUUCCAAUCAAUCACCCUGUGCACCGUGACACUUUUUCGCUCGUUACAAGUGAAUGGAUGUCUCAUAAUCAAUAGAAAGGCACAAAAUGAAGCAACGGAUCUCUUGGCUCUCGCAUCGAUGAAGAACGCAGC